rnacentral:rRNA from 1 species
CGGCCACGGUACCCUAACCGUGCGAAGGUAGCAUAAUCACUUGUUCUUUAAAUGGGGACUCGUAUCAACGGCAUACGAGGGUUCUACUGUCUCCUUUCUCUAAUCAGUGAAACUAAUCUCCCCGUGAAGAAGCGAGGAUAACACUAUAAGACGAGAAGACCCCAUGGAGCUUUAAACCCAAUUAUAUUCCUAACCCCACAACCAUUUAAUCUCUUAGGCCCCAUAUACUUGGUUUUAGGUUGGGGCGACCACGGAGUAAAACCAAACCUCCAUGAUGUACGGAACAACCUCCUUAUCCAAGAGCCACAGUCUAAGAAUUAGCACACUAUCAAAAAAUGACCCAUUAUUGAUCAACGAACCAAGUUACCCUGGGGAUAACAGCGCAAUCCAUUUUAAGAGCCCCUAUCGACAAAUGGGUUUACGACCUCGAUGUUGGAUCAGGAUAUCCCAGUGGUGCAGCAACUACUAAAGGUUCGUUUGUUCAACGAUUAAAAUCCU